CAGUAGGGAAUAUUGGUCAAUGGACGCAAGUCUGAACCAGCCAUGCCGCGUGAAGGAUGAAGGCCCUCUGGGUCGUAAACUUCUUUUAUUAGGGAAGAAACCUCAGGAUGCGUCCUGAGCUGACGGUACUUAAUGAAUAAGGAUCGGCUAACUUCGUGCCMGCAGCCGCGGUAAGACGAAGGAUCCAAGCGUUGUCCGGAUUUACUGGGUUUAAAGGGUGCGUAGGCGGAAAAUUAAGUCAGUGGUGAAAGCCCGCAGCUCAACUGUGGAACUGCCAUUGAAACUGGUUUUCUUGAAUAUAGSUGAGGCAGAUGGAAUAUAACAUGUAGCGGUGAAAUGCUUAGAUAUGUUAUAGAACACCGAUUGCGAAGGCAGUCUGCUAAACUAUUAUUGACGCUGAGGCACGAAAGCGUGGGGAGCGAACAGGAUUAGAUACCCUGGUAGUCCACGCCCUAAACGUUGAUUACUCGSUGUUGGCGAUAYACUGYCAGUGGCUAAGCGAAA
rnacentral:rRNA from 1 species